rnacentral:rRNA from 1 species
GAUGAACGCUAGCGGCAGGCCUAACACAUGCAAGUCGAGGGGUAACUAGAGUGAUAGCAAUAUUACUUUGGCUAGACCGGCGCACGGGUGCGUAACACGUAUGCAACCUACCUUAUACUGGGGAAUAACUUCGAGAAAUCGGCGCUAAUACCCCAUAACAUUGCGAAGAGGCAUCUCUUUGCAAUUAAAGCUCCGGCGGUAUAAGAUGGGCAUGCGUCCAAUUAGCUAGUUGGUGAGGUAACGGCUCACCAAGGCUACGAUUGGUAGGGGUUCUGAGGAGAUGGUCCCCCACACCGGUACUGAGACACGGACCAGACUCCUACGGGAGGCAGCAGUGAGGAAUAUUGCGCAAUGGACGAAAGUCUGACGCAGCCAUGCCGCGUGCAGGAUGACGGCCCUAUGGGUUGUAAACUGCUUUUGUACGGGAAUAAACCCUUCUACGUGUAGGAGGCUGAAGGUACCGUAAGAAUAAGCACCGGCUAACUCCGUGCCAGCAGCCGCCGUAAAAC